rnacentral:rRNA from 1 species
CCUACGGGAGGCAGCAGUGAGGAAUAUUGGUCAAUGGGCGAGAGCCUGAACCAGCCAAGUCGCGUGAGGGAGUACUGCCCUAUGGGUUGUAAACCUCUUUUGUCGGGGAGCAAAAGCCGGACGUGUCCGGCUGUGAGAGUACCCGAAGAAAAAGCAUCGGCUAACUCCGUGCCAGCAGCCGCGGUAAUACGGAGGAUGCGAGCGUUAUCCGGAUUUAUUGGGUUUAAAGGGUGCGCAGGCGGAUUAUUAAGUCAGCGGUAAAAUCGUGGGGCUCAACCCCAUCCAGCCGUUGAAACUGGGGAUCUAGAGUGUGCGAGAGGUAUGCGGAAUGCGUGGUGUAGCGGUGAAAUGCAUAGAUAUCACGCAGAACCCCGAUUGCGAAGGCAGCAUACCGGUGCACAACUGACGCUCAGGCACGAAAGCGUGGGUAUCGAACAGGAUUAGAUACCCUUGUAGUC